GUCGAACGAAGGCCCUAGCUUGCUAGGUGUCCUUAGUGGCGCACGGGUGAGUAACACGUGGGAACAUACCUCAUAGUACGGAAUAACUGCGGGAAACUGUAGCUAAUACCGUAUAUUCCAGAAAUGGGAAAGAUUUAUCGCUAUGAGAUUGGCCCGCGCAAGAUUAGCUUGUUGGUAAGGUAAUGGCUUACCAAGGCUCCGAUCUUUAGCUGGUUUGAGAGGAUGAUCAGCCACACUGGGACUGAGACACGGCCCAGACUCCUACGGGAGGCAGCAGUAGGGAAUAUUGGACAAUGGGGGAAACCCUGAUCCAGCAAUGCAGCGUGAGUGACGAAGGCCUUAGGGUUAUAAAACUCUUUCAUCGGUGAGGAUAAUGACAGUAGCCGAAGAAGAAGGACCGGCUAAUUCCGUGCCAGCAGCCGCGGUAAUACGGAAGGUCCUAGCGUUGUUCGGAAUUACUGGGCGUAAAGCGCAUGUAGGCGGAACAAAAAGUUAGAAGUGAAAUCCCUGGGCUCAACCUAGGAAUGGCUUUUAAAACUUUUGUUCUGGAAUUCAGGAGAGGAAAAUGGAAUUUCCAGUGUAGAGGUGAAAUUCGUAGAUAUUGGAAGGAACACCAGUGGCGAAGGCGAUUUUCUGGACUGAUAUUGACGCUGAGAUGCGAAGGCAUGGGUAGCAAACGGGAUUAGAUACCCCGGUAGUCCAUGCAGUAAACGAUGGGUGCUAGUCGUCGGACUUUUGUUCGGUGUCGUAGCUAACGCGUUAAGCACCCCGCCUGGGGAGUACGGUCGCAAGAUUAAAACUCAAAUAAAUUGACGGGGACCCGCACAAGCAGUGGAGCAUGUGGUUUAAUUCGACGCAACGCGAAGAACCUUACCAGCGUUUGACAUGGGAAGUGCCGGUUACAGAAUGGUAACCUUCAGUUCGGCUGGCUUCCACACAGGUGCUGCAUGGCUGUCGUCAGCUCGUGUCGUGAGAUGUUGGGUUAAGUCCCGCAACGAGCGCAACCCUUAUCGUUAGUUACUAACAGUUCGGCUGAGGACUCUAGCGAAACUGCCGGUGAUAAGCCGGAGGAAGGUGGGGGAUGACGUCAAGUCCUCAUGGCCCUU
rnacentral:rRNA from 1 species